rnacentral:autocatalytically_spliced_intron from 1 species
UAUAUUUUGUUAUACCUAUAGAACCAAUACACCAGUUAUUGGAAUAAAUUUGACUAUUUGCUGGAAACACCGGUGAAUCUUGUACUACCCUGAGCGACUUCAUAAGGAGUCGAAUGGGUAAAAAUGUAUCAAGUGCGGUCAAUCAGCAGGAAAGACUAAGAGAAUGACUAAUUAUUCUAAUUACUAAUUGACCUAAAUAAAUCCCAGGUUGGAACUUAUUUAGAAAUUAGAAAUUAAAACUUAGGAAUUUUCUUGGAAUCCUCACAGACUAUACGCCAAAGUCCCGAGCGACCCAGAGGAGUCGAGGGAGAAGAUAUAGUCGGAUCCUACGAGCGAUCGUAGG